rnacentral:lncRNA from 1 species
CAAGGGGUGGAGACAGGAACAGCAUAAAUAUACAACUGGAUGGUAGAUGUGGGUCUGCUGUGCCAGAAGAUGAAGAUGAAACAGCUGUAAGCUACUGGAAGCUGGGACAGCCACGUGACCCACGGCCUCUGGACUGCCAUCAGUCUGCAUUAGCUGGUCACCAGAGCAUCUCCAGGAUGGAAACCAAACAGAGGCAUAUGAG